GAUGAAGAACGUAGCGAAAUGCGAUAGCUAGUGUGAAUUGCAGAUUUCAGUGAAUCAUCGAGUCUUUGAACGCACAUUGCGCCCCUUGGUAUUCCUAGGGGCAUGCCUAUUCGAACGUCGUCCCCCUCUCUCAAGCGCAAGCUUGGUGUUGGGGCCUGCCCCUGAAAAACGGCGGCAGCCCUUGAAAACAUCGGCGGGCCCAGUGCUCUGGGGGGCCUUGAAGCCCGCCGUUAAGCCCUUCGUGGGCACCACCAAAACCAGGUCGACCUCGAAUUAGGUAGGGAUACCCGCUGAACUUAAGCAUAUCAAUAAGCGGAGGA
rnacentral:misc_RNA from 1 species